CCCCUCCCCCAAUUCUCCAUCCCCUUCCCUCCUGGUCUCGGAGGACCCCGUCCUAGCCCGACCCGUCUCGGCCCGCAACCUCCGCGAAGCCGUCGGUGCCACUCCCCGCCCAUGUGGGCCCCCGCGAGCUGCCCACGCCUGUCCCCCAGCUCCCGGUUCCGCUGGGCUUUCCCCUCGCCGGGGGUGGCUUUCUGAGCCGCCCGCUCCGCGUCCCUCUCUGCAGCCUUUCCUGCCACUCGGGGCCCCCGUUCCCCCUCCCGGCGGCGGGGGGCUGCCCCCGGGGGGCUGGCGGAGCUGGGCCGCGGGGGCCCCGGGGCCGGCGGUGCCGGGGUCAUCGGGAUGAUGCGGACGCAGUGUCUGCUGGGGCUGCGCACGUUCGUGGCCUUCGCCGCCAAGCUCUGGAGCUUCUUCAUUUACCUUUUGCGGAGGCAGAUCCGCACGAUAAUUCAGUACCAGACUGUUCGAUAUGAUAUUCUUCCCUUAUCUCCUGUGUCCCGGAAUCGGCUAGGUCAGGUGAAGAGGAAGAUCCUGGUGCUGGAUCUGGAUGAGACACUUAUCCACUCUCAUCACGAUGGGGUCCUGAGGCCCACUGUCCGGCCUGGAACGCCUCCUGACUUCAUCCUCAAGGUGGUAAUAGACAAACAUCCCGUCCGGUUUUUUGUACAUAAGAGGCCCCAUGUGGAUUUCUUCUUAGAAGUGGUGAGUCAGUGGUACGACCUGGUGGUGUUCACAGCAAGCAUGGAGAUUUACGGCUCCGCUGUGGCAGAUAAACUGGAUAAUAGCAGGAGUAUUCUCAAGAGGAGAUACUACAGACAGCACUGCACUUUGGAACUGGGCAGCUACAUCAAGGACCUCUCUGUGGUCCACAGCGACCUCUCCAGCAUCGUGAUCCUGGAUAACUCCCCAGGGGCUUACAGGAGCCACCCAGAUCACAUUUCUCCGACUAAAUUUGCUUCACGUGAAGCACAGUGGUAAUGACUUUGCCUAGGAGCUUCACGCUAACAUGAAGUACGGUGACUAAAAGUUGAUUUUAUUUUGGAGGAUGAAUCCAGAAGGUUUUACUUAGGUUGCUGGGUUUGGGUGGGUUGGGGAGAGGAACAUAUUUUAAAGUAACGAUCCCCAUCCCCAAAUAAAAGAAAAAUCAGCCUGUCUGUUGAACUCUUUUUUCUCACGUGCAUUUAUUUUUACCCGCCCUAGACAACGCCAUCCCCAUCAAAUCGUGGUUCAGUGACCCCAGCGACACCGCCCUUCUCAACCUGCUUCCGAUGCUGGAUGCGCUCAGGUUCACCGCUGACGUUCGUUCUGUGCUGAGCCGAAACCUUCACCAACACAGGCUCUGGUGACAGCUGCUCUCCCCCCACCUGAGCCGGGGUUGGGGGGACGGGGGUGAGCCCUCGCGGUGCCGUCUGCUGCCCUGUCCAGCGGUGAGGACUGUGUGGGCAGGGUCUGCCCCUCCCGUCCCUCUCUGCCCUGGGAGCCCUGCACUCCCUGUGGAGUCUGGAUGGACACGUGGGCCGGACUCUGAAGCAGCCUCACUCGAACGUCGAGUUCGUGCUCCCUGGAAACCCCAGACUGGGACAUAAGCGGAGGCCUAGGAGAGCCGAAACUGUCUGGUGGAGAGACAGGACCGGCCAGAAUGACACACAGACGUUCGGUAAUCCGGGAGGCUCAAAGAAAAGCCAAGCGAGCUUUGUUGUGAUUUGAUUUUUUAAAAACUCUUGUACAAAACUGAUCUAAUUCUUCACUCCAAGGGCUGGGCUGUGGGUGGGAAACUGGGAUUUUUGGGCCACUGGAUUUUCCCCAAACUUGUCCCUUCCCUCCCCGCCCCCCACUUAUCCCUCUAUUUUCCCUUCUUCCUAGAUUCCCUUAGACCUGUAACCAGCUUUCUCUCUCUCUCUCUCUUUUUUUUUUUUCCUUCCUCUCUUUUAAACCAUGCAUUAUAACUUUGGAAACCAAA